rnacentral:rRNA from 1 species
AUUGAACGCUGGCGGCAGGCCUAACACAUGCAAGUCGAGCGAGCGGCGGACGGGUGAGUAAUGUAUGGGGAUCUGCCCGAUAGAGGGGGAUAACUACUGGAAACGGUGGCUAAUACCGCAUACUAUCGGAUGUACCCACAUGGGAUUAGCUAGUAGGGGGGGUAAAGGCGCACCUAGGCGACUAUCUCUAGCUGGUCUGAGAGGAUGAUCGGCCACACUGGAACGGAAGCACGGCCCAGACUCCUACGGGAGGCAGCAGUGGGGAGUAUUGAGCAAUGGUAGCAAGCCUGAUGCAGCCAUGCCGCGUGUAUGGAAAAGGCCUUAGGGUUGUAAGGUACUUUCAGCGAGAAGACGUUACCCGCAGAAGAAGCACCGGCGAACUCCGUGCCAGCAGCCGCGGUAAUAC